rnacentral:rRNA from 4 species
AGACCCGAAACCCGGUGAUCUAGCCAUGGGCAGGUUGAAGGUUGGGUAACACUAACUGGAGGACCGAACCGACUAAUGUUGAAAAAUUAGCGGAUGACCUGUGGCUGGGGGUGAAAGGCCAAUCAAACCGGGAGAUAGCUGGUUCUCCCCGAAAGCUAUUUAGGUAGCGCCUCGUGAAUUCAUCUCCGGGGGUAGAGCACUGUUUCGGCUAGGGGGCCAUCCCGGCUUACCAACCCGAUGCAAACUGCGAAUACCGGAGAAUGUUAUCACGGGAGACACACGGCGGGUGCUAACGUCCGUCGUGAAGAGGGAAACAACCCAGACCGCCAGCUAAGGUCCCAAAGUCAUGGUUAAGUGGGAAACGAUGUGGGAAGGCCCAGACAGCCAGGAUGUUGGCUUAGAAGCAGCCAUCAUUUAAAGAAAGCGUAAUAGCUCACUGGUCGAGUCGGCCUGCGCGGAAGAUGUAACGGGGCUAAACCAUGCACCGAAGCUGCGGCAGCGACACU